rnacentral:rRNA from 1 species
AUUGAACGCUGGCGGCAUGCCUAACACAUGCAAGUCGAACGGAAACGAUGGGAGCUUGCUCCCAGGCGUCGAGUGGCGGACGGGUGAGUAAUACUUAGGAAUCUGCCCAUUAGUGGGGGACAACUAGAAGAAAUUCUAGCUAAUACCGCAUACGCCCUACGGGGGAAAGCGGGGGAUCUUCGGACCUCGCGCUAUUGGAUGAGCCUAAGUCGGAUUAGCUUGUUGGUGAGGUAAAGGCUCACCAAGGCGACGAUCCGUAGCUGGUCUGAGAGGACGAUCAGCCACACUGGGACUGAGACACGGCCCAGACUCCUACGGGAGGCAGCAGUGGGGAAUAUUGGACAAUGGGCGCAAGCCUGAUCCAGCAAUGCCGCGUGUGUGAAGAAGGCCUGCGGGUUGUAAAGCACUUUCAGUAGAGAAGAAAGCUUACGGUUAAUACCCGUGGGUCUUGACGUUACCUACAGAAGAAGCUCCGGCUAACUCCGUG